AUUGAACGCUGGCGGCAGGCCUAACACAUGCAAGUCGAACGGUAACAGGAAACAGCUUGCUGUUUCGCUGACGAGUGGCGGACGGGUGAGUAAUGUCUGGGAAACUGCCUGAUGGAGGGGGAUAACUACUGGAAACGGUAGCUAAUACCGCAUAACGUCGCAAGACCAAAGAGGGGGACCCUCGGGCCUCUUGCCAUCGGAUGUGCCCAGGUGGGAUUAGCUUGUUUGUGGGGUAACGGCUCACCAAGGCGACGAUCCCUAGCUGGUCUGAGAGGAUGACCAGCCACACUGGAACUGAGACACGGUCCAGACUCCUACGGGAGGCAGCAGUGGGGAAUAUUGCACAAUGGGCGCAAGCCUGAUGCAGCCAUGCCGCGUGUAUGAAGAAGGCCUUCGGGUUGUAAAGUACUUUCAGCGGGGAGGAAGGGAGUAAAGUUAAUACCUUUGCUCAUUGACGUUACCCGCAGAAGAAGCACCGGCUAACUCCGUG
rnacentral:rRNA from 1 species